rnacentral:rRNA from 1 species
AACGUAGGACGCAAGCGUUAUCCGGGGUUACUGGGCGUAAAGCGCGGGCAGGCGGCCAACCAAGUCUGAUGUGAAAUCUCUUCGCUCAACGGAGAGAGGCCAUUGGAAACUGGUCGGCUGGAGGGCAGUAGAGGUAGGCGGAAUUCCGGGUGGAGUGGUGAAAUGCGUAGAGAUCCGGAGGAACACCAGAGGCGAAGGCGGCCUACUGGGCUGCACCUGACGCUGAGCCGCGAAAGCCAGGGGAGCGAACGGG